CAGCCGCCGCGGUAAUACGAAGGGGGCUAGCGUUGCUCGGAAUGACUGGGCGUAAAGGGCGCGUAGGCGGCGAUCAAAGUCAGGCGUGAAAUCCCCGGGCUCAACCUGGGACCUGCAUUUGUGACUGUAUAGCUAGAGUACGGUAGAGGGGGAUGGAAUUCCGCGUGUAGCAGUGAAAUGCGUAGAUAUGCGGAGGAACACCGAUGGCGAAGGCAAUCCCCUGGACCUGCACUGACGCUGAGGCGCGAAAGCGUGGGGAGCGAACAGGAUUAGAGACCCCAGUAGUCCCUGUCUCUUAUAC
rnacentral:rRNA from 1 species